UUCAUUGAGACUUCGGUGGAUUUGAUUUAUUUCUAGUGGCGGACGGGUGAGUAACGCGUGGGUAACCUGCCUUAUACAGGGGGAUAACAGUCAGAAAUGACUGCUAAUACCGCAUAAGCGCACAAGAGCUGCAUGGCUCAGUGUGAAAAACUCCGGUGGUAUAAGAUGGACCCGCGUUGGAUUAGCUUGUUGGUGGGGUAACGGCCCACCAAGGCGACGAUCCAUAGCCGGCCUGAGAGGGUGAACGGCCACAUUGGGACUGAGACACGGCCCAGACUCCUACGGGAGGCAGCAGUGGGGAAUAUUGCACAAUGGGGGAAACCCUGAUGCAGCGACGCCGCGUGAAGGAAGAAGUAUCUCGGUAUGUAAACUUCUAUCAGCAGGGAAGAUAGUGACGGUACCUGACUAAGAAGCCCCGGCUAACUACGUGCCAGCAGCCGCGGUAAUACGUAGGGGGCAAGCGUUAUCCGGAUUUACUGGGUGUAAAGGGAGCGUAGACGGAUGGACAAGUCUGAUGUGAAAGGCUGGGGCUCAACCCCGGGACUGCAUUGGAAACUGCCCGUCUUGAGUGCCGGAGAGGUAAGCGGAAUUCCUAGUGUAGCGGUGAAAUGCGUAGAUAUUAGGAGGAACACCAGUGGCGAAGGCG
rnacentral:rRNA from 1 species